GUGUUGAUUAUCAUGUUCAGACAUUCAUCGCUUGGAAAAUAGACAAAAUGGGUGAAAACUAUACCAUCAUCUUCACUGAAUUUGAGAUCC